GGAGGGGUAUGGCUCAGUGGUAGAGUGUAUGCUUAUCAUGCGUGAAGUCCUGGGUUCAAUCCUCAGUACCUCCA